AUUGAACGCUGGCGGCAUGCUUUACACAUGCAAGUCGAACGGCAGCACGGGGGCAACCCUGGUGGCGAGUGGCGAACGGGUGAGUAAUGCAUCGGAACGUACCGUGUAAUGGGGGAUAACGAGUCGAAAGACUUGCUAAUACCGCAUACGCCCUGAGGGGGAAAGCGGGGGAUCGUAAGACCUCGCGUUAUACGAGCGGCCGAUGUCGGAUUAGCUAGUUGGUGGGUAAAGCCCACCAAGGCGACGAUCCGUAGCUGGUCUGAGAGGACGACCAGCCACACUGGGACUGAGACACGGCCCAGACUCCUACGGGAGGCAGCAGUGGGGAAUUUUGGACAAUGGGGGCAACCCUGAUCCAGCCAUGCCGCGUGAGUGAAGAAGGCCUUCGGGUUGUAAAGCUCUUUCGGCCGGGACGAAAUCGCUACUUCUAAUAAAGGUAGUGGAUGACGGUACCGGAAUAAGAAGCA
rnacentral:rRNA from 1 species